GUUUUUUCUUGGCAAAGAAACUGUAAUGGUUUACCAUUUCCUUCUCCAAUAGAUUAAGGCAAACAGAGGUUAAGCAACUUGCUCAGGGUCACACAACCAAUUCAGAUUUGAAUGCAAUUCUUUUUGACACCCGGACCCAGCACUCUAUCCAUGAGCCUUCUACCUGCUUCCAGAGAAACAUAAAUAUAGAGCUAGAGACAGACACAAAUAUAGAUGGAAUAGAGAUUGAGAUGGCAGAGAGAGAUAAAGAGAUAUAGAAUCAACACAUGAUAUUUUUGAGGCACCAGCAGAUGGGGGAAAGACAAGGAAAGAUUUUAUGUAGGAGUCAGUGCUUGAGCCAAGUUUUGAAGGAAUCUGGGGCUUCUAAGAGCUGAAAGCGAGAAGGGAAUGCAUUGUAGGCAUCAUAGACUGCCAUUUCAAAGGCACAGAAAGGGCAAAUCUUACAUGAGGAGCAUUAAGAAGACCACUUGGGCUGAAUGUUGGGUUCGUGAAGGGUGGUCACAUAGAAUAAGUCUGGAAAGGUUGAGAUUAGGUGGUGAAAAGCUUUAUAUGCCAAAUAGAAGAGAUUAUUUUGCUCCUAGAGGGAAGAGGGAAGCAUUGGAGUUUGAAUUUCCAGUCAUGGAGAGAAUCUAUGGCAACCUGCUGUUUGUCUCAGACAUGCUAAAAUAUUACAUACGCAUUUAUUCCUUGUCAGCACCAAAUAAAAAUGUUCAUCAAUCCUACUGAAUGCAGAACCCUGACAAGACCCUAGAAGCUCUUGGAUUCAGUUUGGCAAACCAUGGGAACUAUGGCUUGGGAAUGAGAAAAUAAAUUAUGUAUAAUAUUUAUUUAAACUAUUCAGCAAUGUGACUGACUUGCACUUAGCUAGAGGAAUGUUUUUAGGAAGUGAGAGACAAAUGUUGUUUUUUUGCUGUAAGAGAAAACAGCAUGGGAAGAAUGGAGAUGUUUGUGCAAUUCUAAUCACAAAUAUAUUUUCCUUUUGCUGGUUUGUCUCCUGAGUCUCUUCCUUUUGUCAUGCCCAGCUGAUGCAUUUGGGGCCCAGCUUUGCUCCGUGGGUGUUGAGAGCUGAGGAAAAGUGACUAAAAGCUCUGCUUUCAGAAGCACCCACAGGCAACAUUUAAGAAGCUGGUUGAUUUAGUCAUUUCCCAACCUGCUGGAAAGGCAACCCAGAUGAGAGCAGCUGAAUUUCUUCCUGAUUGUGAGGGAGUAUGUGUGAAGUUGAGAGGCAGGAAGGCCCCUGGGUGCCCUUGGGCUUUAUUAAUUCCCCAAACCAAAAUUUCCCAACAUCCUGCUUGUUUUCUUAAAUCAAGGCUUUCAUUUCCUGAAGCAAAUUUUGAAAAAUCAUGUCCUUCUAUCUGAUUAUAAAGUGACUUCACCCUUUAUUCCUCUAACAUGACUCUUCUGGGAUGCUUCAUCCUGGCAUCAGAAAACUCAGAGGCUCUGUCUAAAUGGCACAAGUUCCUCCUACAAAAUGUCAUUCAUAUGCCAGGCAGUAUUAUUUCCUUACAGACAUGGUGGCAAGGGGAUAUGAUGGGAGGGAAUAGAAAUAUUGUCUAGGGAAGAGGACAGAGACCAACCUGGACCUAGGAGGACUUGUAUUUAAGUUUUGCCUCUGAUAUAGAAUUACAUAUUGUCAGAGUAACUGUGGGCAAGUCAGUCCCUCUCUCGGUGCCUCAGAUAUCUCUCUAAGACAACAUUACAGAUAAGGUAGGGUAGUUGGGUAGCACAAUAGGGCCAGGAUUCCAGAAGACCUGGGUGCAAUUUUUCUUUAGACACUUACUAGCUGUGUGACCUAAGCAAACCAUUUCACCUCUUUCUGUCUCAGUUUCCUUGUGUAAAAAGGAAAUUUUACUUCCCCUAUAGAAUAGGAAUCAUAAUAGCAUAUUCCUCCAAGGCUUAUUGUGAGCAUCAAAUGAUAGGACAUUUGUAGAGUGCUUUGCAAAUCUUUAUAGAGCUAUAUACAUUAUAUAUACACAUAUAUAUAUAUAUCCUAGUUAUUAUUUUAAAUUGGUAAUUUACACUGACAGAGGCAGGUUCCAUGCUAGGAAUCAAGAUGCUGAUAAAAUAACAGAUCCAGGUCAAACACGAUCCCUAAAAACACCUGUAAAUCUGCCCCUCAUGGUUUAAGCCUCCACUCCAAUUUGAAGUAGUAUGCCUUUCAUUUCAUUCAUGUAGAGAUACUGAUUUCUUACCAUGUUAACAGAAACCUAGACAAGUACUUUAAGUUUAAAAGCAUACUAAGAUUUUUUGCGACACCUGGGAUUGGCUAGUUGUCUAUAAGUAAAUCACACUUUCUAAGUCCCAGGUUCUUUAUCUGAAAGAAAAAAAUAGAAAAGAAUACCAGUAGUAAUCUAAAAAAAAGUAUGAACUUUAUGGUGUCCUCUAAAUGUCUGCUCUUACUUAAGCUCCUUGAUUCUUCUUGUCAUGGCUUGAUGACAAUGGAUUCCACCAUUUAAAGAGAAAUACAUCCCCCAGAAUUCUUUGGUUACUGUGGAAACUGGUUCCUGUUUGGGUCAGCCUGUGAAUACUGGGUGAAAUCGUUUAUCAUCACUAAAAUGUUACUUAUGUCCUUUCCAUCUCCUUCCUGAAACAGAAUGACUUUGCACACCAGAAGCCAAGGUUGACCAUUGCUUAAGUUCUCCAAGAAAGCAGUCCAAGUGGGUAGUUGCAUUUUAUUUGGAAUAAGCCAUACCAAACUCUCACAUAUUCUUUAGAAAACAGAUCAGUUGGGGGCAGCUGGGUAGCUCAGUGGAUUGAGAACCAGGCCUAGAGACGGGAGGUCCUAGGUUCAAAUCCGGCCUCAGUCACUUCCUAGCUGUUUCACCCUGGGCAAGUCACUUGACCCCCAUUGCCUAGCCCUUACCACUCUUCUGCCUUGGAGCCAAUACACAGUAUUGACUCCAAGACGGAAGGUAAGGGUUUUUAAAAAAAAAAGAAAAAGAAAACAGAUCAGUCACGUCCAUCAACUGGCACCACAAAGCAGCCAAGUCAGCCUGACUGAAGCAGAGAGAAAGACAGGAUGUCUCGUGCCAAGCAAGUCAAACCACCAAGAUCAUCUCAACCAUUGAGACUUUGAUGGCGAUAACCCAUGCAUGACACCGAAUCCAUGAUUCUUCAGGAAUAGCAAUGUCUCUAAGACACCAGCUCUGCUUCCAUUCAAGGCUCUGUGGACAUCACAGAAGAGAAGGGACUCACUGGCCACCACCAACACCAACUACAAUCAUCAGCCUGGGAGGAGAUCUGACCUGGUGACUGCUUCUGCAAUUUACUCUGCCUUCUCAAUAGCCAAACUUCUAAAGACCUGGAAAAUAAAUUCUUGUCACAAAA